UACGUAGGGUGCAAGCGUUGUCCGGAAUUAUUGAGCGUAAAGAGCUCGUAGGCGGUUUGUUGCGUCGGCUGUGAAAUCCCGAGGCUCAACCUCGGGUCUGCAGUCGAUACGAGCAAACUAGAGUGUUGCAGGGGAGACUGGAAUUCCUGGUGUAGCGGUGAAAUGCGCAGAUAUCAGGAGGAACACCGGUGGCGAAGGCGGGUCUCUGGGCCGAUACUGACGCUGAGGAGCGAAAGCGUGGGGAGCGAACAGG
rnacentral:rRNA from 1 species